rnacentral:rRNA from 1 species
GCUUGCUUUCCUGGCGGCGAGUGGCGGACGUGAGUAAUGCUUAGGAAUCUGCCCACUAGUGGGGGAUAGCCCGGGGAAACCCGGAUUAAUACCGCAUAAGCCCUACGGGGGGAAGCUGGGGACCCAGCACCAUGGCCUUUUGGCAGCCGAUCAAGGCGAAAGGCAAAGAGGCUAUGGUGCUGGGCCUGGCGCUAGUGGAUGAGCCUAAGUCCUAUCAGCUAGUUGGUGGGGUAAAAGCCUACCAAGGCGACGACGGGUAGCUGGUCUGAGAGGAUGAUCAGCCACACUGGGACUGAGACACGGCCCAGACUCCUACGGGAGGCAGCAGUGGGGAAUAUUGGACAAUGGGCGAAAGCCUGAUCCAGCAAUGCCGCGUGUGUGAAGAAGGCCUGCGGGUUGUAAAGCACUCUCAGUGGGGAAGAAAAGCUUGGUGUGAAUAGCGCCGAGUCUUGUCGUUACCCAAAGAAGAAGCACCGGCUAACUCCGUGCCAGCAGCCGCGGUAAUACGGAGGGUGCGAGCGUUAAUCGGAAUCACUGGGCGUAAAGCGCGCGUAGGCGGCUAAGUAAGUCGGGUGUGAAAGCCCUGGGCUUAACCCAGGAACUGCAUUCGAUACUGCUUAGCUAGAGUAUGGUAGAGGGAAGCGGAAUUCCGGGUGUAGCGGUGAAAUGCGUAGAGAUCCGGAGGAACACCAGUGGCGAAGGCGGCUUCCUGGACCAAUACUGACGCUGAGGUGC